GGAGGUAUAGCUCAGUGGUAGACUGCAUGUCUAGCAUGCACAAGCUCCUGGGUUCAAUCACCAGUACCUCCA
rnacentral:tRNA from 1 species